rnacentral:rRNA from 1 species
UGAAAGAAGGGCCUUACGGGUUUGUAAAGCUACUGUCAGUCGGGGAAGGAAGGGCGUUGAGGGUAUAACCCUCGAAUCGAUGACGUACCGGGCAGGAGGAAGGCACCAGGCUAACUCCCGUGCCAGCAGCCGCGGUAACUACGGAGGGUGCUAGCGUUAAUCGGGAAUUACUGGGCGUAAAGCGCACGCAGGCGGUUUAUCAAGCCUCGGGAUGUGAAUAUCCCCAUAUGGGCUCAACCUGGGAAUUGCAUUUGAAACUGGCUAGGCUAGAGUCUCUAGCUGUAGAGGAGGGGUAGAAUUCCAUGUGUAGCGGUGAAAAUGCGUAGAGAUGUGGAGGAAUACCGGUGGCGAAGGCGGCCCCCUGGACAAAGACUGACGCAUCAGGUGCGAAAAGCGUGGGGAGCAAACAGGAUUAGAUACCCUGGUAGUCCACGCUGUAAACGAUGUCGAUUUGGAGGUUGUGCCCUUGAGGAGUGGCUUCCGGAGCUAACGCGUUAAAUCGACCGCCUGGGGAGUACGGCCGCAAGGUUAAAACUCAAAUGAAUUGACGGGGGCCCGCACAAGCGGUGGAGCAUGUGGUUUAAUUCGAUGCAACGCGAAGAACCUUACCUACUCUUGACAUCCAGAGAAUUUUGCAGAGAUGGUUUGGUGCCUUCGGGAACUGUGAGACAGGCUGCUGCAUGGCUGUCGUCAGCUCGUGUUGUGAAAUGUUGGGUUAAGUCCCGCAACGAGCGCAACCCUUAUCCUUUGUUGCCAGCGAUUAGGCCGGGAACUCAAAGGAGACUGCCAGUGAUAAACCGGAGGAAGGUGGGGAUGACGUCAAGUCAUCAUGGCCCUUACGAGUAGGGCUACACACGUGCUACAAUGGCGUAUACAAAGAGAAGCGACCUCGCGAGAGCAAGCGGAACUCAUAAAGUACGUCGUAGUCCGGAUUGGAGUCUGCAACUCGACUCGCAUGAAGUCGGAAUCGCUAGUAAUCGUAGAUCAGAAUGCUACGGUGAAUACGUUCCCGGGCCUUGUACACACCGCCCGUCACACCAUGGGAGUGGGUUGCAAAAGAAGUAGGUAGCUUAACCUUCGGGAGGGCGCUUACCAACUUUUAGGGAAUC